rnacentral:rRNA from 1 species
UACGGGAGGCAGCAGGGGGAAUAUUGCACAAUGGGCGCAAGCCUGAUGCAGCCAUGCCGCGUGUAUGAAAAAGGCCUUCGGGUUGUAAAGUACUUUCAGUCGUGAGGAAGGUGUUAAGGUUAAUAACCUUAGCAAUUGACGUUAGCGACAGAAGAAGCACCGGCUAACUCCGUGCCAGCAGCCGCGGUAAUACGGAGGGUGCGAGCGUUAAUCGGAAUUACUGGGCGUAAAGGGCACGCAGGCGGUUAAUUAAGUUGGAUGUGAAAUCCCCGGGCUUAACCUGGGAAUGGCAUUCAAGACUGGUUAGCUAGAGUCUUGUAGAGGGGGUAGAAUUCCAUGUGUAGCGGUGAAAUGCGUAGAGAUGUGGAGGAAUACCGGUGGCGAAGGCGGCCCCUGGACAAAGACUGACGCUCAUGUGCGAAAGCUGGGGAGCAAACAGGG